AUGGUCAAGUUACCAUUCAUUCCUGAAGAGUUACAGGACAUAGCCAUCCCAGUGAAGCCUCAAAUAAGGCCAUAUGACAUAGCUCUCUACUUGUUUUUAUAUCCUCUGAACCAAGUACAGUCCCUGGAACAUCAUAAGCAUAUAAUACAUGUUUACCUACAGCCUGACCCAACACAAAGACCACAUGUGGAAGGACUGAAGAUGUCUCACUUAGAUAAAAGGAAAGAAACUCCAUAUGAAGAUAAAAAGUCAUUUUAAGAAAAGGGGGGGGAGAAAAUAGAUGUGGCUACUAGGAUUCAAAGUGAAAUCUCUCCAUCUACCCCCAAACAAACAAGCAAAACUUCCCUUCCUCUGUGUUCUCCAUAGUUAUUGACCUAUUUCCACUUGAAAUCCUCUCAUAUACUAGACUCAAACUCAAAAACUCAACUUACAUUGUUUGAUUCUUGUGUUUUGACUUUGCCUUACUGAAGACUUUCCUGUGAGAACAUUCCCCAGGACCUAGAAGCUGCAUUCCAGUUUGUAAGAGAAGAAUGGAUAGAUGACUCAAUCUACAUACUCCACAAUUCUUUUUUUUCUGAUGCUAUUCCCUAAGCUUGCUACUAUAUAUAAAUUAAUGUACCCUUGCUUUAAUUAUACAUUACACCUCUGUAUUUUUUUAAUUAGGAAAUUCAUUUUGCUGAAUUUAAGAAGAUCAUAUUAAAUGAGCUUACAAACAAUGGUUAUUUUUUUCCCCAAAUAACAAAUUCGAUGAGCAUAUAUACCUCUUUCAUAAUGCGGAUAUUGGUCCUUAAUCUCAAGUCAUUCAAUUAAUCAUUUUCCUACCCAAUUACUAAUUAUCAUUCAUUCAUUCCACAAAGAUUGACUAAGCAAAUAUUCUCCUUCAGGGCCAUGAAUAGGACUCUACCAGAUACUCACAAUUCUCAUGAUACCUUGGGUUAUUCAAGGACCUUCCCAUUUCUGUGGUGCCCCAUUGAGGCCUUUGCUCCUAGAAAAUAUGAAGUUUUGAAGAGUUUUCUUUGUAUUUCCACUUUCUAUCACAAUUCAACAAUCUUGUUUUUCCUUUUCUUGCCAUAUAACAGGAUAGCUAAUUUAACUAAUAAACUUAUAUUAGUACAAUAAUACUAAUGACGA
rnacentral:lncRNA from 1 species